rnacentral:rRNA from 1 species
UACGGAGGGAGCGAGCGUUGUUCGGAAUUACUGGGCGUAAAGGGUGCGCAGGCGGCUUGGCAAGUCGGAAGUGAAAUCCCGAGGGCUUAACCCUGGAAUUGCUUUCGAAACUGCCAGCUAGAGUCUCGGAGAGGUUAGCGGAACUUCCCAGUGUAGAGGUGAAAUUCGUAGAUAUUGGGAGGAACACCAGUGGCGUAAGCGGCUAACUAGACGAGUACUGACGCUCAGGCACGAAAGCGUGGG